CAGAGAGCACCCCGACCACUCCCCCCAGGCCAGACACAGAGGGGCAGGCAGAGGGCCAUGCCAGGAGGAUCCACCAGCACAGAAUUUCCUCCCACUCAAAGGCCGAGAUUCAUGUCUUCUGAGUAAGAAAAUCAAACUCCAUCACUUCGCAAUCAAGAUUAGCCGCAGCCCCAGAGGAUGAAUUACUCACCAGAUUGCCAUCUGGGAAACGUCCACGGCUCUAUCUCUUCCUGGGUGAGGAGUCCCAGAUGUCCAGAUGUGGGGGCCGCUGGCUACCAUGGCGACCAGACCAACACAGAGCAGCCUCUCCACGCUGUGCUCCAGGGAGGUGGCCUAACCCAAAUUCUCUCCUGCCACCAGACCCAGGCUUCCCACUCAAGUGGAAGCAAGUCCCUAAGAGGGUCUCAAAUGCCCGCUGUCUGUCAUCCACCAAAGCCCAGCUAGGGGUCCAAUGGAACACCACACAGACCAGAAGCUUCUGGAAGAUGGAGGGCAGGCUCUUCCACCCUGGAUCACUGUCCUGAUGGAAGAGGCUCAGAAAUAGCAGCCUUGGAAGUCGUGCCCACCUCCCCCUGGACCACGAGCGACCCUCACCCAGAGCGGCCCUGCCUGCACAUAUGAGAAUGCUGCCCCUGCCCUGUGAAGCCCCCAUGCUUGUCCACCAAGAAGAAGUUUUGCAGCUGGGAUGGCCAUGACCUGUCGGGGAGACGAGAUGGAAUUCUACUCAGUGGCUCUUCUAAUAAAGCCAUUAUGUUCCUAAGAAAAGGGGCACAGCUGGCAGAUACCCCCUGCCCUGCCCUGCUCUUUCUUCCCUCCUGGAGCACAGAGGGUGUCUGGCCACGGAGCCAGCACCCUUGGAAGCCAGACUGAAGCUCACACUGAAGGAGGAGCAGACUCUUGGCGUCCACACCAGCCCCAGACUGCCUCUCUCUGGACGUCUUGAGAAAAGGGGAAACGGACGCUGUCCCAAAGUGAUGGACAAACUGCUGCUACUUCUGUCAAACACAGCUCUGCUGAGUGAAAAGACCUGCCUGUUCCCAGGCCUCCCCAGCCAGACCCUGAAAUGGGGCAGGCCUUCCCCCCAGGGUCAGAGGGUGCCCCAUCCACCUAGCACCCUGCCCAAGAGCAGGGCACCUGUUUCCUUGAGGUGCCCAGCCCAUCUCCUCUGGCCCCUCACCUCACUGGAGAUGGCAUGUCCCUUGUCACAGCAGCUGCCUCCUCCCUGGCGGGAGCCUUGCAGAACAACUCAGUCCAUGAUGACUGUCCAGGUGACCAUCCAUGGUGACCAUCCAUGCCACACAGACGGCUGGGGGCUUCUGAGACCUGCGUUUCUGCUCUUCAAGGAGUCAACAGCCAACUCCUCGGGUCAGAAGGUACUUGUGGCAAAAAUCACUGGCUGUCAAAAAAGUUCAGGAAGUAUCUUCCACAAAUCACGAAGACCAGAUGUGUAACCAGUGGGAGAGAUUUUUUUCCAAGGGGUUGAUCACUAAAAAGUAAAUGAUCCAGCCCCCUGUGGGCACACCCACUGCCCCGGCCGCUGCCCCUCCCCCAGGGCUGCUGUCCUUGUGGUCACAGACACCUCAGGGUCUCUCCCCUGCUUCCUCUUUCAUCGUAUGUUUCAUGGUCCACGAGCUGGACUAGGUCACAGGCCUGUUCUGUGUUGGAAGAUCAGUAAGAAUAAGAAGUUGUGCUGGACAUAAGAUGCAGUCCCUCAGUUUUACUACCAAACCAGAAACAAACUCCCAGUGGGGUUGGUGACAUUGGGAUGGAGUGGUUGCAGUCCCCAGCCCCUCCUCCACCCUGGGACCAGCGGUGACCUGAUCUUUGCUGGGGGAGCCACACACACCCCCCUGG
ensembl:lncRNA